rnacentral:lncRNA from 1 species
AACUGGAGUGUUUGUGGAGUGUGUGAACUACGCGAUAUCAGUAAACAGUCAGUCAUAUGGUGUUCAGAUUGUGAGGAGGGUCUCUGUGAUGAUUGUAAGGACUAUCAUAGUUUAUCCAAAGGGACACGUAAUCAUGAUAUCGUGACGAUAGCUGAGUACCAGAAAUUACCAAGCAACGUUAUUCAAAUCGUUCAGUCCUGUAAGAAACAUGAUCAAAAGUAUCAAAUAUUUUGUAAGAAGCAUGAUUGUCCGUGCUGUAAACGUUGCAUAGUAGAGGAUCACAAUAAAUGUGAAGAUUUAAAAGACAUAGAUGAUGUCGUAAGCGGUAUUAAGUCGUCAAAUGCAUUUCAAGAUUUCGAAAAGACUAUGAAUGUAAUUAAAGAGCAUAUCAAAAGAAUUCGAAAAGACCGUGAAGAAAAUUUAGCGUCUUUGAAAGAACAAAAGAAGAGCAUUGGAAUGGAGAUUCAUAAAGCUAAAACCUCAAUCAAUAAUCAUCUAGACCAACUACAUCAGACACUGCUGAAAGACCUUGAUACAUCAGAGGAGACAGAGACUAAGAAGAUUAGUCAGCUACUGAACGAAGUUGAAAAGCACGAAAAAGAGAUUGCAGAUUUUCAAGCUGGGUUAGAAAAUAUUAAGCAGUAUGCUUCCGAAUUGCAAAUAUUCCUGGCAACAAAAGAUAUGGAGAGUGAUUUAGCAAAGAAAGAAAAUUUUGUUCAGUCAAUAAUUAAAAGCGAAAAAUUAAAUCAUUCACAAAUAUUUUUGAAAAAUUGAAACGAUUUUACAGAAUAUUGCGACUGAUCUUAAAUCCUUUGGAGAAAUAAUCGUUGAUAAUAAGCCGAACAAACUAAUGAUAAGUAGACAGAAGGACCAACAGGCUCAACAGAAAAUUGCUGUUCAUCACCAAAGUCCAUUGAAAAUUUGAAACUGACCUUACGAAAGACCGUUGAUAUGGAUGCCACAUACGUCAGAGGAUGUACAAUACUACCUGAUGGAAGGAUGAUGUUUACUUGUUAC